GACGAACGCUGGCGGCGUGCUUAACACAUGCAAGUCGAACGGAAAGGCCCUGCUUUUGUUGGGUGCUCGAUUGGCGAACGGGUGAGUAACACGUGAGUAACCUGCCCUUGACUUUGGGAUAACUUCAGGAAACUGGGGCUAAUACCGGAUAGGAUCUCCUGCUGCAUGGUGGGGGUUGGAAAGUUUCGGCGGUUGGGGAUGGACUCGCGGCUUAUCCGCUUGUUGGUGGGGUAGUGGCUUACCAAGGCUUUGACGGGUAGCCGGCCUGAGAGGGUGAACGGGCACAUUGGGACUGAGAUACGGCCCAGAAUCCUACGGGAGGCAGCAGUGGGGAAUAUUGCACAAUGGGCGGAAGCCUGAUGCAGCAACGCCGCGUGCGGGAUGACGGCCUUCGGGUUGUAAACCGCUUUCGCAUGUGACGAAGCGUGAGUGACGGUAAUGGGUAAAGAAGCACCGGCUAACUACGUG
rnacentral:rRNA from 1 species